GUCUACGGCCAUGCCACCCUGAACACGCCCGAUCUCAUCUGAUCUCGGAAGCUAAGCAGGGUCGGGCCUAGUUAAUACUUGGAUGGAAGACCACCUAGGAAUACCAGGUGCUGUAGGCA
rnacentral:rRNA from 1 species